UGCUUUCCUGCUUGAGAAAGUUGGCCAUGCCAUCCCUUUUUCUCCAGAGGACUUCUGCAGUCCAUGUGAAUUUGUUCAUCAAAUCCACAACACCUCAGACACUGCUGGCGACGAGU